CGGCCCUAAUACAUGCAGUAGAACGCUGAAGAGAGGAGCUUGCUCUUCUUGGAUGAGUUGCGAACGGGUGAGUAACGCGUAGGUAACCUGCCUUGUAGCGGGGGAUAACUAUUGGAAACGAUAGCUAAUACCGCAUAACAAUGGAUGACACAUGUCAUUUAUUUGAAAGGGGCAAUUGCUCCACUACAAGAUGGACCUGCGUUGUAUUAGCUAGUAGGUGAGGUAAUGGCUCACCUAGGCGACGAUACAUAGCCGACCUGAGAGGGUGAUCGGCCACACUGGGACUGAGACACGGCCCAGACUCCUACGGGAGGCAGCAGUAGGGAAUCUUCGGCAAUGGGGGCAACCCUGACCGAGCAACGCCGCGUGAGUGAAGAAGGUUUUCGGAUCGUAAAGCUCUGUUGUAAGUCAAGAACGGGUGUGAGAGUGGAAAGUUCACACUGUGACGGUAGCUUACCAGAAAGGGACGGCUAACUACGUGCCAGCAGCCGCGGUAAUACGUAGGUCCCGAGCGUUGUCCGGAUUUAUUGGGCGUAAAGCGAGCGCAGGCGGUUUGAUAAGUCUGAAGUUAAAGGCUGUGGCUCAACCAUAGUUCGCUUUGGAAACUGUCAAACUUGAGUGCAGAAGGGGAGAGUGGAAUUCCAUGUGUAGCGGUGAAAUGCGUAGAUAUAUGGAGGAACACCGGUGGCGAAAGCGGCUCUCUGGUCUGUAACUGACGCUGAGGCUCGAAAGCGUGGGGGAGCGAACAGGAUUAGAUACCCUGGUAGUCCACGCCGUAAACGAUGAGUGCUAGGUGUUGGAUCCUUUCCGGGAUUCAGUGCCGCAGCUAACGCAUUAAGCACUCCGCCUGGGGAGUACGACCGCAAGGUUGAAACUCAAAGGAAUUGACGGGGGCCCGCACAAGCGGUGGAGCAUGUGGUUUAAUUCGAAGCAACGCGAAGAACCUUACCAGGUCUUGACAUCCCGAUGCUAUUUCUAGAGAUAGAAAGUUACUUCGGUACAUCGGUGACAGGUGGUGCAUGGUUGUCGUCAGCUCGUGUCGUGAGAUGUUGGGUUAAGUCCCGCAACGAGCGCAACCCCUAUUGUUAGUUGCCAUCAUUCAGUUGGGCACUCUAGCGAGACUGCCGGUAAUAAACCGGAGGAAGGUGGGGAUGACGUCAAAUCAUCAUGCCCCUUAUGACCUGGGCUACACACGUGCUACAAUGGUUGGUACAACGAGUUGCGAGUCGGUGACGGCGAGCUAAUCUCUUAAAGCCAAUCUCAGUUCGGAUUGUAGGCUGCAACUCGCCUACAUGAAGUCGGAAUCGCUAGUAAUCGCGGAUCAGCACGCCGCGGUGAAUACGUUCCCGGGCCUUGUACACACCGCCCGUCACACCACGAGAGUUUGUAACACCCGAAGUCGGUGAGGUAACCUUUGGAGCCAGCCGCUAAGGUGACAGGGG
rnacentral:rRNA from 1 species